rnacentral:rRNA from 1 species
AGCGAACGCUGGCGGCAGGCCUAAUACAUGCAAGUCGAACGGAUCCUUCGGGAUUAGUGGCGGACGGGUGAGUAACACGUGGGAACGUGCCCUUUGGUUCGGAACAACUCAGGGAAACUUGAGCUAAUACCGGGAUAAGCCCUUCGGGGGAAAGGAUUUAUCGCCAUUGGAGCGGCCCGCGUCUGAUUAGCUAGUUGGUGGGGGUAAAGGCCUACCAAGGCGACGAUCAGUAGCUGGUCUGAGAGGAUGAUCAGCCACACUGGGACUGAGACACCGGCCCAGACUCCUACGGGGAGGCAGCAGUAGGGAAUCUUGCGCAAUGGGCGAAAGCCUGA